rnacentral:sRNA from 1 species
AUCUAACUCUCAUGGCAGCCUUGCUAGAUAGAGAGUAUUAUUAUCCCCAUUUUCCAGACAGGGACCUUGAGGCCCAGAGAGAUGAAGUAGCUUGUCUAGGGUCACGCAGCUUGUAAGUGGCAGAGCUGGCUGACUCUGCGGGACAUCCUUGCCUGGGGGGGUCUCAUCAGUUGGCAUCUUGCACUCACUUGGGUUUCCCGCCUUUUCCGGGAGCAGCCUCAGUGGGGUCGCCGUACCAGGGGCCCUGGCAGGGUCAGCUGCAAGAACAUCAAACCAGAGUGCCCAACCCCAGCCUGUGGGCAGCCGCGCCAGCUGCCGGGACACUGCUGCCAGACCUGCCCCCAGGAGCGCAGCAGUUCGGAGCGGCAGCCGAGCGGCCUGUCCUUCGAGUAUCCGCGGGACCCGGAGCAUCGCAGUUAUAGCGACCGCGGGGAGCCAGGCGCUGAGGAGCGGGCCCGUGGUGACGGCCACACGGACUUCGUGGCGCUGCUGACAGGGCCGAGGUCGCAGGCGGUGGCACGAGCCCGAGUCUCGCUGCUGCGCUCUAGCCUCCGCUUCUCUAUCUCCUACAGGCGGCUGGACCGCCCUACCAGGGUCCGCUUCUCAGACUCCAAUGGCAGUGUCCUGUUUGAGCACCCUGCAGCCCCCACCCAAGAUGGCCUGGUGAGAUGAUGCCA